CAUAAAAUUGAUUACUCGAUGUUUUUUUAUACCAUGACUGGCAUACGAUCCACUUCAUAGUAAGCUAACAUCGAAAGUUGUUGAAUAAAGAUGCGCAAGGUAUUUCGUCUGGGCUGCUAAAAUAUUUAGACAUACCACUUUUUUUUACUUAUUUUUCUGCUUCUAUAUAGUAUGAAUUGUUAUUAUUCGUCAGGGGGUAGAAUCCAAAGCAAGCAAGAGCAGAAUAUUUAUUAUUUUCUAAUGAAACCUACCAGAACGCAAAGAAUUUGGAAUGACCAAGGUAAUAAAUUUAAGAGAUACAGACGUUCAAUGAAGGGGGACGAAAAUUUGAGCCUGGAUAUGGGUCUAUGGGCACUCAGUUCAGGCAAUGAGACAGAUAACAUAGAACCAAUUAGAAACCGUUGGAGAAGCUGGAGAAAUAUUGAGCAGCAGCAUCGUGAAAGCAGUGGAGAAGACGAGGAAUGGGGUCGUCUGGGUGAGUCGAUAAGUUUUCAGAUUUUUUGGCCCCAUGGUUCAAGAGGAGGUAACAUAUUUUUUUCUUUCGGAGCUAUUGUUUCAGAAAAUAUUAACAUUAUCAAAAAAUGGUCUGUCGAGACCCUUAUUCGUUUUGAAAUAAUUAUAAAUUUGUAUAGCGACCAAGAAUUGUUUUAAAAAAAAUCUUUUAUUUCGUGUAACAAGAGACAUAUCUUCUUAAACUAAAAAACUAAAUUUUAAAAAUCCUUAUUUAUUAAACGGGCUUUACCAUUCGACAGUACUAGUGGGUGAAUGUAAUCUUCCACAAUGUGAUAAAUAGACACAAUCCACCCUCUCGGCUAUCAUCUUCAGAAUGAUGUUGGGACUGCCCCGCACCCGACCAAAUAAAUAAACUAUUGGGUCAAAGCAAAAAAUAAACAAAUAAAAUUUUGUAUGUGCGGUAAAUUUAUUUGUAGUUUUUGUUUUUAGACGGUAGAUACUGGUAUGUUAUUAUUUUUAAAUUCUAUGCAUAAAAAAGUUAUAUUAUACCUCUUGCGUCAAAUGAUGGUGGUGGCGGACGACGAGGCGGCGGCGGCCGACUGGGCGCGCCUCACCUUCGACCUCAAGCGCGCCAAGCUGUCCCGCGACUCGGUGAGCACACACCUCCACUAUCGACCUCACCGUCCUCACCACACAGGCGCUCCCGUACUCAUGUAGUAUGGGAGCGCGACCUCUUCUUUUGGUUGCGCUUACAACUAUGACCAUUACUCGUGUAAUUUAAAUAUAUUUACAAAAAAUAAGUUUCACCCCACCUGGGCUAUUAUAGUAUAAACAGGUGUAGAUUACGACUCGGUUGAAUUACCCAAAUCGUAGCAUUUUACAAGUAACAUUGCACCUAUGUGGCCUCGUGCUUUUUGUAAACCCUUCAUGAUGCAGUUCGGUGUAUUAUAGUAGCAUACGACGAAAUAUGGCAACAUUCACUCUCUAAAAGUAAAAGUUUAAACAUUAAAGAUUGGCAGAGUUCUCUUGCA